rnacentral:rRNA from 1 species
CCUACGGGCUGCAGCAGUGGGGAAUAUUGGACAAUGGGCGAAAGCCUGAUCCAGCCAUGCCGCGUGUGUGAAGAAGGCCUUCGGGUUGUAAAGCACUUUCAGUGGGGAAGAAAGCCUUGGGGCUAAUACCCUCGAGGAAGGACAUCACCCACAGAAGAAGCACCGGCUAACUCCGUGCCAGCAGCCGCGGUAAUACGGAGGGUGCGAGCGUUAAUCGGAAUUACUGGGCGUAAAGCGCGCGUAGGCGGUCUGAUAAGCCGGUUGUGAAAGCCCCGGGCUCAACCUGGGAACGGCAUCCGGAACGGGCAGGGGAGAGGCAGGGAGGGGAAGGGAGAAAUCCGGGGGGCGCGGUGAAAUGCGUGAGGAACGGGAGAGAGGGAAGGGGGGAGGGUGGCGUGCUGGGCUGACAGUGACGCUGGGGUGGGAAUGCGUGGGUAGCAAACAGGACUAUGUACCCGGGAGGUC